rnacentral:rRNA from 1 species
UACGUAGGGUGCGAGCGUUGUCCGGAAUUAUUGGGCGUAAAGAGCGUGUAGGCGGCCAGGCAGGUCCGUUGUGAAAACUCGAGGCUCAACCUCGAGAUGUCAUCGGAAACCACCUGGCUAGAGUCCGGAAGAGGAGAGUGGAAUUCCUGGUGUAGCGGUGAAAUGCGCAGAUAUCAGGAAGAAUAUCCGUGGCGAAGGCGGCUCUCUGGUACGGCACUGACGCUGAGACGCGAAAGCGUGGGGAGCGAACAGG